rnacentral:rRNA from 1 species
AACGAACGCUGGCGGCGUGCUUAAGACAUGCAAGUCGGACGGUAAGGCCCCUUCGGGGGUACACGAGUGGCGCACGGGUGAGUAACGCGUGGGUAAUCUGCCCUCUCGUCUGGGACAACUCCGGGAAACUGGAGCUAAUACCGGAUGAGCCCACAGGGUCCCCGGACCCAGCGGGAAAAGAUGGCCUCUUCUUGAAAGCUAUCGCGAGGGGAUGAGCCCGCGUCCCAUUAGCUUGUUGGUGGGGUAACGGCCUACCAAGGCUUCGAUGGGUAGCUGGUCUGAGAGGAUGAUCAGCCACACUGGAACUGAGACACGGUCCAGACUCCUACGGGAGGCAGCAGUCGGGAAUUUUUGGGCAAUGGGCGAAAGCCUGACCCAGCAACGCCGCGUGAGGGAUGAAGGCCCUCGGGUCGUAAACCUCUGUCGGGAGGGAAGAACGUCCGCCGGGUGAAUAAUCCGGUGGGCUGACGGUACCUCCAAAGGAAGCACCGGCUAACUCCGUG